rnacentral:rRNA from 1 species
CCUACGGGAGGCUGCAGUGGGGAAUAUUGCACAAUGGGGGGAACCCUGAUGCAGCGACGCCGCGUGAGUGAAGAAGUAUUUCGGUAUGUAAAGCUCUAUCAUCAGGGAAGAAAAUGACGGUACCUGACUAAGAAGCCCCGGCUAACUACGUGCCAGCAGCCGCGGUAAUACGUAGGGGGCAAGCGUUCUCCGGAUUUACUGGGUGAAAAGGGAGCGCAGAGGGCUGUGCAAGUCUGGAGUGAAAGGCGAGGGCCCAAGCCCCGGACUCCUCUGGAAACUGUAAAGCUGGAGUGCAGGAGAGGUAAGCGAAAUUCCUGGUGUAGCGGUGAAAUGCGUAGAUAUUAGGAGGAACACCAGUGGCGAAGGCGGCUUACUGGACUGCAACUGACGUUGAGGCUCGAAAGCGUGGGGAGCAAACAGGAUUAGAUACCCCUUAGUC